rnacentral:rRNA from 1 species
UUAAGCGACUAAGCGUACACGGUGGAUGCCUAGGCAAUCAGAGGCGAUGAAGGACGUGCUAAUCUGCGAAAAGCGUCGGUAAGGUGAUAUGAACCGUUAUAGCCGACGAUGUCCGAAUGGGGAAACCCAGUGCAAUUCGUUGCACUAUCGUUUGAUGAAUCCAUAGUCAAACGAGGCGAACCGGGGGAACUGAAACAUCUCAGUACCCCGAGGAAAAGAAAUCAACCGAGAUUCCCCUAGUAGCGGCGAGCGAACGGGGAGCAGCCCAGAGUCUUAAUCAGCAUCAGCAUCAGGAGAACGGUCUGGAAAGGCCGGCAAUAAAGGGUGAUAGCCCCGUAUCCGAAGGUGUUGGUGUUGUGAACUCGACGAGUAGGGCGGGACACGUGUUAUCCUGUCUGAAUAUGGGGGGACCAUCCUCCAAGGCUAAAUACUCCUGAUUGACCCGAUAGUGAACCAGUACCGUGAGGGAAAGGCGAAAAGAACCCCGGCGAGGGGAGUGAAAUAGAACCUGAAACCGUGUACGUACAAGCAGUGGGAGCCUUGAUUUAUCAGGGUGACUGCGUACCCUUUUGUAUAAUGGGUCAGCGACUUAUAUUCUGUAGCAAGGUUAACCGAAUAGGGGAGCCGUAGGGAAACCGAGUCUUAACUGGGCGAAUGAGUUGCAGGUAUAGACCCCGAAACCCGGUGAUCUAGCCAUGGGCAGGUUGAAGGUUGGGUAACACUAACUGGAGGACCGAACCGACUAAUGUUGAAAAAUUAGCGGAUGACUUGUGGCUGGGGGUGAAAGGCCAAUCAAACCGGGAGAUAGCUGGUUCUCCCGAAAGCUAUUUAGGUAGCGCCUCGUGAACUCAUCUUCGGGGGUAGAGCACUGUUUCGGCUAGGGGGUCAUCCCGACUUACCAACCCGAUGCAAACUACGAAUACCGAAGAAUGUUAUCACGGGAGACACACGGCGGGUGCUAACGUUCGUCGUGAAGAGGGAAACAACCCAGACCGCCAGCUAAGGUCCCAAAGUCAUGGUUAAGUGGGAAACGAAGUGGGAAGGCUCAGACAGCCAGGAUGUUGGCUUAGAAGCAGCCAUCAUUUAAAGAAAGCGUAAUAGCUCACUGGUCGAGUCGGCCUGCGCGGAAGAUGUAACGGGGCUAAACCAUGCACCGAAGCUGCGGCAGCGACAUGUAAAUGUUGUUGGGUAGGGGAGCGUUCUGUAAGCCUGUGAAGGUGUGCUGCGAGGCAUGCUGGAGGUAUCAGAAGUGCGAAUGCUGACAUAAGUAACGAUAAUGCGGGUGAAAAACCCGCACGCCGGAAGACCAAGGGUUCCUGUCCAACGUUAAUCGGGGCAGGGUGAGUCGACCCCUAAGGCGAGGCCAGAAAUGCGUAGUCGAUGGGAAACAGGUUAAUAUUCCUGUACUGGUGAUAAUUGCGAUGGGGGGACGGAGAAGGCUAGGCUGGCCGGGCGACGGUUGUCCCGGUUUAAGGAUGUAGGUGGGUGAAUUAGGCAAAUCCGGUUCGCUAUACACUGAGGUCUGAUGACGAGUCACUACGGUGGCGAAGUAGCUCAUGCCCCGCUUCCAGGAAAAAGCCUCUAAGCUCUAGAUUAUCAUUAAUCGUACCCCAAACCGACACAGGUGGUCAGGUAGAGAAUACUCAGGCGCUUGAGAGAACUCGGGUGAAGGAACUAGGCAAAAUGGUGCCGUAACUUCGGGAGAAGGCACGCUGGCAUUAGGUGAAGUGGUUUUACCCAUGGAAGCUGAAGCCAGUCGCAGAUACCAGCUGGCUGCAACUGUUUAUUAAAAACACAGCACUGUGCAAACACGAAAGUGGACGUAUACGGUGUGACGCCUGCCCGGUGCUGGAAGGUUAAUUGAUGGGGUUAUCCGUAAGGAGAAGCUCUUGAUCGAAGCCCCAGUAAACGGCGGCCGUAACUAUAACGGUCCUAAGGUAGCGAAAUUCCUUGUCGGGUAAGUUCCGACCUGCACGAAUGGCGUAAUGAUGGCCAGGCUGUCUCCACCCGAGACUCAGUGAAAUUGAACUCGCUGUGAAGAUGCAGUGUACCCGCGGCAAGACGGAAAGACCCCGUGAACCUUUACUAUAGCUUGACACUGAACAUUGAGCCUUGAUGUGUAGGAUAGGUGGGAGGCUUUGAAGUGUGGACGCCAGUCUGCAUGGAGCCAACCUUGAAAUACCACCCUUUAAUGUUUGAUGUUCUAACGUAGCCCCAUAAUCUGGGGUGCGGACAGUGUCUGGUGGGUAGUUUGACUGGGGCGGUCUCCUCCCAAAGCGUAACGGAGGAGCACGAAGGUUGGCUAAGCAUGGUCGGACAUCAUGCGGUUAGUGCAAAGGCAUAAGCCAGCUUGACUGCGAGAGUGACGGCUCGAGCAGGUACGAAAGUAGGUCUUAGUGAUCCGGUGGUUCUGAAUGGAAGGGCCAUCGCUCAACGGAUAAAAGGUACUCCGGGGAUAACAGGCUGAUACCGCCCAAGAGUUCAUAUCGACGGCGGUGUUUGGCACCUCGAUGUCGGCUCAUCACAUCCUGGGGCUGAAGUAGGUCCCAAGGGUAUGGCUGUUCGCCAUUUAAAGUGGUACGCGAGCUGGGUUUAGAACGUCGUGAGACAGUUCGGUCCCUAUCUGCCGUGGGCGUUGGAAGAUUGAAAGGGGCUGCUCCUAGUACGAGAGGACCGGAGUGGACGCACCGCUGGUGUUCGGGUUGUCAUGCCAAUGGCACUGCCCGGUAGCUAAGUGCGGAAGAGAUAACCGCUGAAAGCAUCUAAGCGGGAAACUUGCCUUGAGAUGAGUCUUCCCUGACUCUUUAAGGGUCCUAAAGGAACGUUUAAGACGAAGACGUUGAUAGGCUGGGUGUGUAAGCGUAGCGAUACGUUGAGCUAACCAGUACUAAUGAACCGUGAGGCUUAACCUG